GCCAGGGCAGGGCAGCAUUCCCUACAGCCGCCAUUUCUUCUCUGUCAGCUCUCUGCUGUCAGACAGAGAGCCAAACAGAGCUGGAAGGUCAGAUAUCUCUGGAAUGUAUUGAGCACCUACUGGGUGCACAACCUUGAGGAAGAGCACGUGCCCUCUGCAGGAGAAUCUGUUCCCGUCUCCCUGCAGUUCCGUCUCAUGCCUGCUCUGCUGUGGGCAAAGUGUCCCUUCUGCCACCAGGGCCCCUGACUAGUUUUCCUGGGACCACCUGGCCUCCUGGUCUCUUCUAGCCCUGCUGGAUUAAGGUGAAAAGCCAGUCUAGGCCACCAUAGCCAGACUGCCUGCUGCAUGGACAGCCUCUGCCCUGAGUCCUGGAUCCUUCCUUCACUGGAAAGUACCUCUCAUGGAGAAAAUUCAUCAAGCAGAUGGAGACUGUUACAGAAAUCCCAACUGGUCAAAAAGAGAGAGCUGACCAUGCUGCCCAAAUCUAAGGCUACACCCACGACACACCCCUAUACCUGAGGCUCAGGAACAUCGGAGAAGAUGAAGUGUUCGUUGUAAGAGCCGGAGAAUCUGGACAUCUGCUGGGAGAUAGCAGGUUCUAAGUAGGACAGGGAAAUUGCUCUCGGGAAGCCUCAACAAUACGGUCACUGCAAAAGACAAGCCAGUGUGGAUGGCGGACAUCUCACCUGGGCCCCAG
rnacentral:lncRNA from 1 species